AUUGAACGCUGGCGGCAGGCUUAACACAUGCAAGUCGAGCGAGCGGCGGACGGGUGAGUAAUGUCUGGGAAACUGCCUGAUGGAGGGGGAUAACUACUGGAAACGGUAGCUAAUACCGCAUACCAUCAGAUGUGCCCAGAUGGGAUUAGCUAGUAGGUGGGGUAAUGGCUCACCUAGGCGACGAUCCCUAGCUGGUCUGAGAGGAUGACCAGCCACACUGGAACUGAGCCACGGUCCAGAUUCUUACGGGAGGCAGCAGUGGGGAAUAUUGCACAAUGGGCGCAAGCUUGAGGAAGCCAUGCCGUGUGUGUGAAGAAGGCCUUCGGGUUGUAAAGCAUUUUAGGCGGGGAGGCGUUACUCGAACAAGAAGCACCGGCUAACUCCGGGCCAGCAGCCGCGGUAAGAC
rnacentral:rRNA from 1 species